rnacentral:lncRNA from 1 species
GGAAGGAAGGAAAGGAACUAAACUAUCCGCUCCCGGUCGUGCCGUGCGGGGUCCUGAUCCCCAUCCGACACCACCGUCGUCAUCGGCUCCCAGUCCCACCUCCAUCUCCAUGCGAUCUCCUCGGCCGGCGCGGCUAGCUGCCGUCGCGCUUCUCCUCGCGGCGCUCGCUGCGGCCGCGACCGCCACCGCCACCGCCGCCGCGGCCAGCAGGGACGGGUACGGGCGCGCGAGGAGGCUGCGCAUGAGGGGCAAGGUCGUCGAGAUGUGAGCGCUCCCCUGUCUUCUCUUCAGCUACCCUCAGUUCGAGUUCUGUCGGGUUUAGUCCGAGCUUUGGGACUGGGAAGGUUCCAUUCUGUCGCGGCGAUUUCGGUUUCAUACGGGGAAGAAGAUUCUAGCUGUCCUGUGAGCUCCGCCUUCUCUGGUCCGGGGACUUCUGUUCUAAGACAAAAAGCCCAUGUAAUUCGCGUCGCAGAUAAAAAUGCGUGCUUUGCUCAUCCUGUUAAGAGUUCAGACGAGUGACAACAUCUCGAGCUCAAGCCUAGAACCAACGUUUCGGCCCAUGUGGUCAAUGAAUCGCCGCAUAAUCUCUGUAUUUCACUUUUUCACUUUAUCAUCUCCUAGAUCAAGUAUGUUUGCCUUAUUGCCUUGACCUUCAGAGUUCUGCAAUAAUUUGUCGCCCCCCC